CCUACGGGUGGCUGCAGUGAGGAAUAUUGGUCAAUGGACGAGAGUCUGAACCAGCCAAGUAGCGUGAAGGAAGACUGCCCUAUGGGUUGUAAACUUCUUUUAUAUGGGAAUAAAAUGUUCCACGUGUGGGCUUUUGUAUGUACCCUAUGAAUAAGGAUCGGCUAACUCCGUGCCAGCAGCCGCGGUAAUACGGAGGGUCCGAGCGUUAUCCGGAUUUAUUGGGUUUAAAGGGGGAGGAGGUGGAUUGUUAAGUCAGUUGGGAAAGUUUGCGGCUCAACCGUAAAAUUGCCGUUGAAACUGGCAGUCUUGAGUACAGUAGAGGUAGGCGGAAUUCGUGGUGUAGCGGUGAAAUGCUUAGAUAUCACGAAGAACUCCGAUUGCGAAGGCAGCUCACCGGACUGCAACUGACACUGAGGCACGAAAGUGUGGGGAUCAAACAGGAUUAGAUACCCCAGUAGUC
rnacentral:rRNA from 1 species